rnacentral:rRNA from 1 species
UCGGGAAUAUUGCGCAAUGGAGGAAACUCUGACGCAGUGACGCCGCGUGCAGGAAGAAGGUUUUCGGAUUGUAAACUGCUUUAGACAGGGAAGAAAAAAGACAGUACCUGUAGAUAAGCUCCGGCUAACUACGUGCCAGCAGCCGCGGUAAUACGUAGGGAGCGAGCGUUAUCCGGAUUUAUUGGGUGUAAAGGGUGCGUAGACGGGAAGAUAAGUUAGUUGUGAAAAUCCCUCGGCUCAACUGAGGAACUGCAACUAAAACUGUCAUUCUUGAGUACUGGAGAGGAAAGUGGAAUUCCUAGUGUAGCGGUGAAAUGCGUAGAUAUUAGGAGGAACACCAGUGGCGAAGGCGACUUUCUGGACAGAAACUGACGUUGAGGCACGAAAGUGUGGGGAGCAAACAGGAUUAGAUACC